ensembl:lncRNA
UGGCCUUAAGGGUCUCUUCCAACUCAAACCAUUCUAUGAAAUAGAUAACAAACCUAAGAGAGUUCUUACACUGGAGGUGUUGAAGAACUAUGGAGAUGUGGCACCCAGGAAUGUGGUUAGUGGGCGUGGUAGGGAUGGAUUGGUGGUUGGACGUGAUGAUCUUAGUAGGCCUUUCCAACCUUAAUGAUUCUGUGGUUCUAUGUAAAACUGGCCAAUGAGUGGGCUCUGCAAACAAGAGCUGUGCUUCAUAGGGAGCUCACUCUCACAGCUCCUCCAUGUUGCCCCUUUCUCAGUGCAGGAAGCCAUCAGCAGCACUUGCAGGCUGCCAGCUCUUCCUGCUUUGUUUCAAGCACAACUUAAAGGCUCUUCAAAUGAAGUAAUCUUCAUUUCUGACAGCCACAACCCAGCAGGAAAGGACACAACAGCUCUCCUUGAAUUGCACAGCUGCCGUUUUGCAUUUUUGAGUUUGGUACCCGGGGAAUUAGAAAUGUCAGUAGUUCCAUUUAGUUUUCCUAUGGUAAUAUUAAAGUCUUCCAGCUGUGGGGGUAAUUUCAAGUCAAAAACAAACAAACAAAAGAGUUGAAUCACAGUUUCAUGAUCCUGUGAUCCCCCUAUAGGAAAAACCAAACCUUGCCUACACUGAAACAUUCAAGGUGUUUCAAGGAUAGUGUCAGAAAAACUUCCAUUGCGGGAUCAGACAUCUCCCAGGGCAGGGGAGGAAGAGGUGUUCCAGCUGACCCAAAGCUGAGGUCUGCUCAAUAUACAUCAUUUUCGUGUUCCUACUUCAGUCUGUUUUCCUUUUCAGCACCGCCCUUUUGAUGCUUUUCCCUUAUAACUGCUUUGGACCAUGGAAAACCAGACACGGGCGGAGGCUUCUCGCUGCCCCUUCCUGCUUGGACAUUCAGAUGGGAGUGAGGUUGGAGGUGUGAGUGGGGUUUGAUGCAGGGGUAGAAGAUGACUGCUGGGACAGAAAUUGCAAAGAGAUGUGAAAUCUGGAGCUCUGAAGGCUCUGCCUGCUAUUAUCAAGACAAAUAUAGUGCUACAUGUUAUGCAGAGGCAGUUUUCAAGCACGGUUGGAAUGAGCGACUUUGGAGGCAAAUCGCUACCGCUCGUCUUUGCCUUUAGUUUUGGGCUUUUAUUUCCUUAUUUCCUCUUGUGGAGAUGACACAUCUCUGACAGCUGUUGCAUCUCGGAGCCAUAACAGCCCACAUAGCAACUGCCC